AUUGAACGCUGGCGGCAGGCUUAACACAUGCUAGUCGAGCGGAGCGGCGGACGGGUGAGUAAUUCCUAGGAAUCUGCCUGGUAGUGGGGGACAACGUCCGGAAACGGGCGUGAAUACCGCAUCCUAUCAGAUUAGCCUAGGUCGGGUCAGCUGGUUGGUGGGGUAAAGGCCUACCAGGGCGACGAUCCGUAACUGGUCUGAGAGGAGGAUUUGUCACACUGGAACUGAGACACGGUCCGGGGGCCUGCGGGAGGCAGCAGGGGGGUAUAUUGGACAAUUGGCGAGAGCCUGAUCCAGCCAUGCCGCGUGUGUGAAGAAGUUGUGCGGAUUGUAAAGCACUUUAAAUUGGGGGGCGUUACCAGCAGAAUAAGCACCGGCUGACUUCGUGCCAGCAGCCGCGGUAAUAC
rnacentral:rRNA from 1 species